GCCGGUGUGGUGAAAUUGGUAGACGCGCCGGACUCAAAAUCCGGUUCCGCAAGGAGUGUCGGUUCGAGUCCGACCACCGGCACCA
rnacentral:tRNA from 3 species